GGGGAUAUGGCUCAGUUGGUAGAGUGCUUGCCUUGCAUGCACAAGGCCCUGGGUUCAAUCCCCAGCACCA
rfam:Ictidomys tridecemlineatus contig026604, whole genome shotgun sequence.